GCCAUUGUAGGGAUGUACCGCACAGGAAAAUCCUACCUGAUGAACUGCCUGGCUGGUCAGAACAAUGGCUUCCCUCUGGGAUGCACAGUUUAGUCUGAAACCAAGGGCAUCUGGAUGUGGUGUGUGCCUCACCCAACAAAGCCAAGUCACACCCUGAUCCUUCUAGACACUGAGGGUCUUGGGGAUGUAGAAAAGGUGAGUCAGCAAGGUGACGCUAGGAAUGACGCCUGGAUAUUUGCUCUGGCUGUGCUUCUGAGCAGCACUUUUGUCUACAACAGCAUGAGCACCAUCAACAAUGAUGCCCUGGAGAAGCUGCAGUAUCCUUCAAAGAUCCAAUGUUCUAUCUUCUACUGUGGAACUUAGGGAAAA
rnacentral:sRNA from 1 species